CCUACGGGUGACAGCAGUGGGGAAUAUUGCACAAUGGGGGGAACCCUGAUGCAGCGACGCCGCGUGGGUGAAGGAGUAUUUCGGUAUGUAAAGCUCUAUCAGCAGGGAAGAACAAUGACGGUACUUGACUAAGAAGCACCGGCUAAAUACGUGCCAGCAGCCGCGGUAAUACGUAUGGGGCAAGCGUUAUCCGGUUUUACUGGGUGUAAAGGGAGCGCAGGCGGCGCGUUAAGCCUGGUGUGAAAGCCCGGGGCCCAACCGCGGGACUGCAUUGGGAACUGGCGCGCUGGAGUGCCGGAGGGGUAGGCGGAAUUCCUAGUGUAGCGGUGAAAUGCGUAGAUAUUAGGAGGAACACCAGUGGCGAAGGCGGCCUACUGGACGGUGACUGACGCUGAGGCUCGAAAGCGUGGGGAGCAAACAGGAUUAGAUACCCGUGUAGUC
rnacentral:rRNA from 1 species